UCCUACGGGAGGCAGCAGUGGGGAAUUUUGGACAAUGGGGGCAACCCUGAUCCAGCCAUGCCGCGUGAGUGAAGAAGGCCUUCGGGUUGUAAAGCUCUUUCGGCCGGGAAGAAAUCGCAUAGGCAUAAUACCUGUGUGAGGAUGACGGUACCGGAAUAAG
rnacentral:rRNA from 1 species